rnacentral:rRNA from 1 species
UACGUAGGGUGCGAGCGUUGUCCGGAAUUAUUGGGCGUAAAGAGCUCGUAGGCGGCUUGUCGCGUCGGAUGUGAAAGCCCGGGGCUUAACUCCGGGUCUGCAUUCGAUACGGGCAGGCUAGAGUUCGGUAGGGGAGAUCGGAAUUCCUGGUGUAGCGGUGAAAUGCGCAGAUAUCAGGAGGAACACCGGUGGCAAAGGCGGAUCUCUGGGCCGAUACUGACGCUGAGGAGCGAAAGCGUGGGGAGCGAACAGG